GAAUCGCACCACUGUCCCAUAGAACAGUGUCAGAUUCUGGAGCCACCGUGUCAGAUUCCCUCUUUCUCCCUGCUGUAUCCUAUGGUUGAGAAGCAGUGCUGGGAAAGCUCCAGUCCUUCGCCACAACUAAGUUCAUCCUCAGAGAUCCACAACCGGAGUGCCCAGGAAGUUAAUCACAGAUUGGCCUGGUCCUGUUGCAGUUUAUCUGCUGAGAACUUUCAGCCACACAUGAUGUUGCUUGGAGUCCUGGGGUGCUCCAGAAGAGGGUAUCUCCAGUUACAAGACAAACAUAAAGCACUUCCUUGUGUAAUAUUCCACAGAGAUGGCAGACCAUUUGCUGAAACAUCUCUGAUAGGUUUGUUUCAUAAUCUAUUUACUUUCAUUUUGAAAUCUAGUUCUAUAGUAUGGAGAAAAAUAGGAUGAAAGUUGUUUUAUUAUUAAUUCACUAACUUACAUUGGGAACUG